rnacentral:rRNA from 1 species
UCAUAAUGACUAUGAAAAAAGGUACUUUGUUCGAGUUUGUAUAUUUUCGCAACGUGAGUGUGAAAGUAUAUGGUCGUCAUCAAGACCAAUUUAUUCUCAUUUAAACUCUCUCUCUUAACUUCAUGUACCAUCGUUCCUUCUCGUAUAUAUAGACGUACGUGCGUGCUUAGAGCCGCGACACGCCGCGGAACACGUGUGUGUGCCCAACGUGGCUCCAGAAUCCAGGCCCUUUCUAAACCUAAUGAGGAUACUUUCAGCCACGUUGGUGACUUGGUGUAUCUUCCCUCAUGGUGUAUGUUGUGAAAGAAGUUCAAGUGGUACUGUAAGCUCUACGCUUAUGAGUGCUUCUAGAAGUUUAUUCUCUAGAGUAGCUCCUCACCACCUGUACCUUACCCGUUGUUCUGGUGAUCAAGGUGGAGAUACAAAGUACAGUACACACAACUUGAAACAAAAUGAUCAGUUACACAUGUACGUUACGUGCAAUUAAAUCUUCAUAUAAUUCACGUACGCCUAUAAUUCAUCCUAUAAUAAACGCACAAUAAUAUACUAAUCGCGAUAUAAACCAUACUUUAAUUGACAUGCGAUUUGUACAACUCACGAGCUGUAACUUCGUCAGAUCCAGCAACCUAACUGUACUAAACUACCAGCUCUAAUUAACCUAGACGGGGAAACCCAGAAAAAUAUAACCAUAUCUACAAACUACUUGUACAGACAACUUAAACUCGAACACCUAGUUACUUGAUACAUUAAUACGUGAUCAUAAACACAAAAUAAACGAAACCUAAUUGAACUGUCCUCAAACUAUAAUAGGAAAACCUAAAUAAAACAACUUGUACGAAAUUUUACAACCUAUCAACUUCCGGUUUAAAAAUCCCGUGGUCAAAACGUAGUAGACAAUGCUGUCUUUUUAUAAAAACCACAGGUUUUUGGACAAGAGAGGACGGGAUUUUGAUAAAAACCCGUGACUAAAAAUGUAGUGGACAACCUCUACGAGAUUCCUCCUCCCCUCUCUCUUAAGUCGGAUCUAGUACGUACGUCCGAACAAGGUUUGUUUUCGAAUCGUAUAAACGGAGGCGACGGUUAACGUAACGGAGUCCGCUAACUGAACUGAACCGGUGGUAAACAGGGACUAAUAAUACAUGAAUAAACGGAGCAGCACGCCAGGUAUAUACUGUAUAGAGCGUCGAUUCGCCGACGAGGAGAUGAGGAACAGCAACCCGGCAACGGCACCUCGCCUCUGGACGCAAAAACUAUGUAUCUCGUCUCUUCAAGUCAUCAACUCCUUACCUCGUUUUCCUGGGGUUUAGAAGUAUGUUGAGACGAAUAGCAAUGCCCUUAAGUAGUUGUCCCAGAUUGAGCUCUAUACGUUGACGUGGGGGCCCUAAGUCGGGCACCAUACGGAGAAGACGCCCAUUGUUACACGUCGUCGGUCUUCGUGUUCGGGGGACGUCUCCUUCAUGAGGUCCUAACCGCUGCUGAUGACGAGACACCGAGUUCACUGACUUCGAAACCGUGUUCGCCCAGAACUUAGAAGUUUGGAAUAACAUCCGUACCUAAAAUGCUUUUCAUUGCUUACCUGUCCUUUUUUAAGUAUAUUAGCCGUAACAGACGUACUAUAACCUUCUUGAGGUUUGGGCAUACUCGUUCGGUAUAGAUAAUAACCUUCCUGUGAAAGCCUAAAACUACUUCUGUUAAACUAAGGGACGAAACCUAAACCACUACGCAGUUGAGUACUGUUCCUGCAUAAGUCAAAAAUAGGUCUCCUGGCGGGAACGUGACCUAAACUUCUCCGUAAUCUUUCUAUGUCUGUUUAGCAAGGUCGAGAAGCUAAUAGACCUGGUUGUAGAAAGCGAGGUUAUUAGCUCUGGCGUUAGCCCUAGCACCUGUCGUGACCACCGGUUAUAGUACAAGAAGACUAUUAACGACUACCUGUCCAACGAGCUUUACACCUAUGUGUCAGACCCGUCAAUUCGGGUGUCCUCACCCUGUGGUAAUUGCGAUAUCACUUUCGAUCGGUGAAAGGGAACAGAUAACAAGAGCAACCCCAGCCACUACCUGGUACCCUAUACUACGUAUUCAAACUACUGUUGUAUGGACGAGCCAGUAAGCUGUUAAAGGUCAAACACUUAAAGUGCCUCUAAUACAGUUUCUCGUAUCGUCGACUGUCUUUUCUCCGACUCAAACGCAACAGUCGUAACUACCUUUAGGGAUGCGUCAUGUUUCGUUGUGAACUAGAGGUUGAGGAACCAGCAGCGGUUCCUUAUGGAGGUUCUCAAGGAGACGGAGGUGGUUGUUCCUGACGGAUAAGUGCCAGACGAUCGAAACUGGUUGUCAGACCACAAAUAAGUGCCAGAUCACCGAAACCGGUUGUUUGUUCUCCCAAAGUCGUUAGUCUG